rnacentral:rRNA from 1 species
GGCAUCUUGGACAAUGGGGGCAACCCUGAUCCAGCCAUGCCGCGUGAGCGAUGACGGCCCUCGGGUUGUAAAGCUCUUUCACCCGUGAAGAUAAUGACGGUAGCGGGAGAAGAAGCCCCGGCUAACUCCGUGCAAGCAGCCGCGGUAAUACGGAGGGGGCUAGCGUUGUUCGGAAGUACUGGGCGUAAAGCGCGCGUAGGCGGAUGUUCAAGUCGGGUGUGAAAGCCCGGGGCUCAACCCCGGAACUGCCUCCGAUACUGGACGUCUCGAGGACGGGAGAGGCGAGUGGAAUGCCGAGUGUAGAGGUGAAAUUCGUAGAUAUUCGGCGGAACACCCGUGGCGAAGGCGGCUCGCUGGUCCGUUUCUGACGCUGAGGCGCGAAAGCGUGGGGAGCAAAC